UGCUGCCGCAGUCCAAAGAAAUACAAACGAAGUGCUCUAUUUUUGAAGUCGCAGCCACAUAGUAGUCGGAUGUAGAUCCAAUCCAUGCCGUUGAGCGCACGCAAAAUGGCAGCCUUUGUUUACCUGUGAACAGCUGACAGCCCCUUGCGUGCCCGUAAUUGCGGCCCCGCCCCCGUCAGAUACUGAUUGAGGAAGGGCCAAGAAGAAUUAUCCGUAGCCCCCGAGGUCAAACUUUGCAACAUAGUGGAUCGAGAACUGUCAAGGCAUUUUCCAUAGGGCACCGCCAUGACAUAACGAUAGCUUCGUCAAAGUUAUCGCUGCAUCGGUAAUACUUCCUGCACUGAUACGCUCCGAUAAAGAAGCUGCUACAACAUUAAAUGUGAGUAGUGAAUUCACCUUUUUUUACAUUAGUGGUAUAAAAGGCAGAAAUAAGACGUAGUGAGCACUUUAUGCAGGCGCUUAGCUUAGACAGAAUGUUUGCCUCUAAAUUUCUUACUGUUCUGCGGGCCGGCUGAAAUUCCCAAGUUGACAAAGAGAAAAUGGCAGCAGAAGGGCCGCGGGUGUCGAAAGAGCAGGCGGCUAUUCUCGUGCAGCUCAUCGAGCAGCACCCAUACCUGGCGAGAGCUUCUACAGAGUUCUCGCCACGUAUGACUGCUGCUCGAAAAAACGAACUGUGGGAGGAGGUGGCGGCGGUCCUUAACGCACAGGGGCCAGCCGUAAAGACCACCAGCCGUUGGCGCAACCAUUGGGCCAAGAUGGCGCAUAAAGCGAAAAAAGAAGCGGCCAGGGCAGCGAGCGAGAAGAGGUGAGCUUCUAAUGAUGCUGACAGUAACGUCGUUUCACGUUGUCGUUGUUGCCGUGUUUGCAGGGCUACUGGAGGUGGCAAAGUGGAUGGCGUCGACGGCCGCGUCCUCGACGUCCUUAUGAGGACAGGAGGGGUCCUUGUUUCCCCUCUGAGUACUUCGCCGAUAGCGAGGAGCGUACAUUGGAUUUAAAAAAGUGUUGUUUGUGUGACCUGCUGUGACCUCACAAAUUUUCAGCAUUACAUUGUAACACAAUAUUGCAAAAUUUUUAAGCCCUUUUUUUGUGGAAGUGACAAUAUAGGUUAUGUACUCUGAGCAGCAACUUGUGUACAUGAUCCGCAUUGCACACACUGCUCGCAAUGUCUGAACACUACUCUGAUUGCAGGACGACGCAAGUUCAGAGGAAGCUGCAGGGCCCAGCGGUUCCCGCAGACAUCCACCAGCGACAACUGCUUUCGUGGUGUCGGGCCCUGCAGCUGUUGCUGGGCCAAGUGGCCUUACACGUAAGGCAGUGACCUAGCUUUUGUAGUAGCAUUGUUGUUUGCAGUAGCUGUGUGAUCUUGCUAUGAAGGAAAGUACAUCACUGUGCUGUUAUUACCUUUGUGUCCAACAUCCAGCUCUUAUUCAUCGAGGAGAAAUGCAAGGCUACAAAUGACAUGAUGUUGUAAUAGAGAUUCCUUGUGCUUCUUAUGGGUUACUGCUACCAGCAAUUUUCCGUGGCAUCUUUUGCUCUAACUACCUGUUUUGUGUAUCAUUAUUGUAGCUAUGCAGGUAUAAUGACAUUUCAAAGUGACUGGUUAGGACAAUCAAUCUGUGCAGGUCGGAUAACAGUGAAUGCGCAGUCUUUGCUUUUUCCUUGCAUGAAGAGCCACCGGCUAGCUACCCCCCAGGUGCUACGGCCUACCCCCCAGGUGCCUCGGCCUACCACCCAGGUGCCUCAGCCAACCCCGCAGGUGCAGCAGCCAACCCCGCAGGUGCCGUAACCAACACCGCAGGUGCCGUAGCCAACCCCGCAGGUGCCGCAGCCUACCCCGCAGGUGCCGCAGCCUACCCCUCGAGAACCACGGGCACCCCGUAGACAGCCCAGGCAGCAGGAACUCGAUGGCACUGUGGUGACGGCUACUGCCGCAUACGUUCGCCAGAGCCAGUUGGAGGAAGCCAGAGUUCAAGAGGACACUCGCUUCCGCCAACAAUUGCUGGAGCAAAACCAGCAGCACCACGAGGCCCACAUGCAGAGCCUGCGGCAGCACCACGAGGCCCACAUGGAGAGCCUGCGGCACCUCGGGGAGGAGGUGGCGGGAAUGCGGGAAGUGCAGUCACAGCGCCUCGAAGUGCAGCGGCAGCGCCU